ensembl:lincRNA
AAGGCACAGUCUUUGUAGCAGUACCCUGUCAUACCUGGGUGAUCUCCUUCCAAUGCAACUGGGGACCCACUGGAACCACCGGCUGAAAUUCAAAGCUGUUUUCCCAUCCUAUCUCCCUGACAUUUACAGGAAAAAGCUGGAUUCCCUGCAUAGUGAACUGCAAGGCACUAUCAACAGCAUGUAUUAGAAAAUGAUGCAGAAACAAACAGAACAUUAUUGAUGCCAAUGGAAACAGCACAUCCCACUGACCUGCACCCAAAUGACACUCAUCAAGAGGAGCCCUGGGGCAAAGAGACCCCUCAAAGCAAGCAGCAUAUCUGGGAAGCAGGUGUGGGCUGAGCAAGCAGAGAAGCAGGCAGAGAGCACCACGCUGAGCCUGCAGGUACCACCUUGCACCUUGCCUGGGUCUUUGUCAGUGUCUGCAGUCUCCACAGGGUCAUGAGCUCCUUUUCAAACACAACUAUUAUUCCAGUCCUGGGGUGAAUCAGAAGCAGGAGAAUAAGCAACCCUACUCAGAGCCUUACUAUCCAAUAAAGAGAAACAACACCCCAGAGAAAUCUUCCAACUAGAAGUCUGAUAGUAAAGCACAGCAUCUCUUCCUUUGGCUACUGGCCCAAAGGCACCUGCAUCAUCUCAGCUGAUUUUACAGAAUGAAGGACCUGUUUACUUGAACAUUUUACUUACAUCCAGGGAAGGGCAGAGGGUGUGUGUGAAGUCAUCUGCCUCACUGCAGUCCAUCAAGCAGCCGAUCCCACAAGCAAUGAUUGCCCACUCUGUCCGGGCACAUGGACAGUGACAAAGGGUAAAGGGUUGCAAAGACAAAGCCCUUGCCCAGAAAGAGUUCUGGCUUCAAGGUCAGUGCAAGUUUAGGACCAGACAUGCUACUAUAAAUCAUGCCUAAAACAAUUACAAGGGCCAGGGAUUUAGCUCAGUGGUUCUGCUGCCCACCUCACAAGAGCAAGGACCUGAGUUCGAUCCCCAAUACGAAAAAAAAAUACAAAGGCUGGAUAAAGUUCUAGGGGACAUAGAGAAGAUUUCUGUGGACAGGGCUGAACUUCAGGAGCCAGAAGGGUCUAACACAGAGCACCAAGUCACCAAGGAUCACAGUAGUUUGUCAAAACUAAGGAUGGGCCAGAAUAAAAUUGAGCAAAGGAAAGACAGCUUGGAAGAGGAAAAGUAAGUAGGGUAGUCCAAGGAGAAUCUAGAACAAAAGCUGCAAGUUAAAAGCAAAGUUACAUCAAAAUGGCCAGUGGUUGAAAGAGCAUCUGGCAAAGAUAAUGUAAAAAGAAUAAUGAAACAACCUGUUGUACAAGGAAAUUCAAGUUACAAGGGCUGAAGGCCCAGGACUUUUGAUCCUUCUGUUGUGAAGAUACUUCUGGGACCUCCAGUUGAGGGCCUUCAUGAGGAUGUGGAUCUAGAGAAGACACCAUAGGCCCUGCAGAAGACAGGAAGAUUCAUAGGAUCCUAGAAGAGGCCUCAGCAUCUACAGAGAUUCAAAGCAUACUGGUACCAUAUGCAAAGAAACAGCUGGAGGUCAGCAGCUGAGACUGAGAAGGUGAUCAUCACAUAAAACACCCUUUUAUGAUUUUCUGUGGCCUUCUCUUCCUUAUCAGACAGAGGAGUUCUCAGGGGAAAAGAGAACAUUCUGUUUGAACCUCUGAAUUUUCAGGACCUAUCCCCUGUAGGAGUAUGAUGACACUGAAAACAUUAAAUGUAGGAACAGAUCACUUUGUAGUUUUCAUAAGGUUUCCUGUUUCUGAGUACAUUUAAUCUACUCAUAUAACCCCAUGAGUUUAACUGUAGCAAUUUCAUUUUAGUAGUGGAACAUCGGAGGCUUGGAAAGAUUCAGCGGCUUUUCUAAGACUGCACAGCUAGGAAACAACAAGACCCCAUGUGACCUCUCCACCAUUGCAACCUCAAGAUUCACCUCCCCACAACCAUCACCACAUCCACCCUGUGGAAUUCCAGCCAGGACCAAGACAGGCACCCUGUCCUCUGCCAUCUCUCAUACCUCAUCAUCUAUGCGCAAUCACCAAACAAGAGUUGGCCAAUCCUCAGUGUGCUCCAGGAAUUGUCCUAAGGGCUGGAUGUGCAACAAGGAAUGAAAGUUCUCGCUUUCAUAGAGCUUAUAUUCCAGUAAGGAGAGAGCUCACUAACAAAAGAGAAAUAUAUGAACAAGAUAACCUCAGCAAGUGAUGAGAGGUAAGGAAUAAACUCUGGGUCAUGAUGGAAUGUGAUGAAAAAGGUUAGUGGUGCAGAAGAGGCUCUCUGAGGAGUAACAUCUGAACUGAGACCAGUAGAAUCCAUUCUAUAGGAGCCUGAGUACGGCGCCCCAGGCCAAAGGAACAGCAUCAGCGUGGGCAAAGCCCCUUGAGUGGGGGUUUUCUGGACCUACAGGAGGUACAAGAACAGGGGCAUUGUGCUCAGUGUGGAGUGAGCAAAGAGAAAGAGGAAGUAGAAUUCAGAGCACAAGGAGGCUCACAGGGAAUGCGAAAUUGGGCCAAAGCUCAUGGGGUUGCAGUUUGGAGCAGGAAAGCAAAACAUCACAAGUUAUGUUUUUGAAAUAUGACGCUAGUUACUGUAUGGAGAAUAGAGAUGAGAGCAUGAACUAAGAAAACAAACAUCAGACUGGGUCUCUUCAGAAAGAAUAGAGAUACUUAAUGCAGCGAAUGAGAGAGUAAAGAACUGCCAGAAAUUCUAAGGUCAGAGAAGCUCCAUCAGUUUUAGAGCAAUCAGCAGUACAAGAAGCCCAGGAGCCCACCCCCUGGGGAUCCAGGGGCCUGGCAUGCCCCCAAAGAGGGUGAUUCAUAAAAGGACCACGGGGGCCUGCAGCUAACCUCCCAGGCUGUGUCCUCCAGAGCCACAGCAUAGGGACAGGAGUAGACAUCGCAGGCCACUGCAGCGGUCUAGAGGGGAGAUGAUGGAGGCCCGCAUGAAGGUGGUGGCUAGGAUGAAGAUGAUAGGACAGAUAUGGGACACAUUUUAGAAGUAACUAUAAAAGGACUUGCUGACCAGUACACAUACUCAUUCUGUGACUCCUCUUUCAUUUUGUCAUCAGGUAUCACUUUAGAAAAUAAUCUUAUUGGGCCGGGGAUUUAGCUCAGCAGUUCGGUGUCCUACCUUGCUAGCACAAGGACCCGAGUUCAAUCCCCGGUACCAAAAAAAAAAAAAAAAAAAAGAAAAGAAAGAAAAUAAUCUUAUUGAUAUUUAGUACACAAACCAUAGAGUUUAGAGUUUAUUUAUUUAACUGUGAAAUUUAAUGCUUUUUAGUAUAGUCAUAGAGUUAUGACUCCAUCAC